UGAAAAAGACACUGAGCGCAACUUCCUUCUUCGCACAAUUUAAAUAAAAAUGGAGCGGCGUCAGCUUUUAGCUGUUGUGGGAUUUCUCUUUUAUCUUUGGCUAAAAACCACAAGUCAUUUCUCCUGCUAGCGCUCGGCUAACUCGUUUGAUUUGGUUGUAUUUUCCCAUAAUGCCCUGCUCUACAAUCCGCUUCCUGCUUCUUUCCCCAACCUUGGGAAAGCAGUCCACCUUUCUCCAGGAGACAACGUCCUUCUGUUUACCGGACCAGACACUCUACGCGCUUAGCUUCAGGUCAAAGGUCAUGAUUUUAAAGCAACAACAAAACCGCAUCACCUCCAAAAAGCAGCAAAAUGAGAGAAAGAAAAUCCUCAGCACAUCUUACUCCCACUGAACUUCAACAAAGAAGUGUUUCCAUUUUCACUGCUGGCCGAACAUGGAGAGAUGAAAUCCAUCUGGAAACAUAUAAACAUCUCAUAAGUGUGUGUUGUUCCAUUCUAAAGACACCAUUCAUCAAAACUAAUCACAGGAGCCCAAAAUAAAUCUCCGGUUCCAUUCCUCACAUUUCAUGAGGCAGCACAUGGACCGUUCAGCU